rnacentral:ncRNA from 1 species
UUAUUUUAUUUUGGUUAAUAAUUUUAUUAUUAUUUUAUUUUACAUGUAAAUUUUUGUGUGAAUUAAUUUAAUUUUUAAAAAAUUGAAUAGAUUUUAUUUAUUCGCAGUAAUUGAUAUUAAUUAAAAAAGAAAUUUUGUAUUAGUAAUAAUAUAUAGUAUUGGUAAAAUUUGUGCCAGCUACCGCGGUUAUACAAAUAAUACAAGUAAAAUUUUUUAGUAUUAGUUAAAUUUAAAAAUUUGAUAAUAUAAAUAUAAAUUUAUUAGGUGAAAUUUUUAAAUUUAUUUAUUUAUUAUUUUAAAAAAUAAUUUAAGCUAUAAACUUUUUAUAAUAAACUAGGAUUAGAUACCCUAUUAUUGAAAAUAAAUAUUUAAAUGCUAAAGUAGUAUUAGUUAUAUUCUUAAAAUUUAAAAAAUUUGGCGGUGUUUUAGUCUAUUUAGAGGAAUCUGUCCUGUAAUUGAUAAUCCACAUUGAACCUUACUUAAAUUUGUUUAAUUUAUAUAUCGCCGUCAUCAGAAUAUGUUAUAAGAUGAAAAUUUUCUUAAUAUUUAAUUAAAUAAAAUGUCAGGUCAAGGUGUAGUUUAUGUUUAAGUAGAGAUGGAUUACAAUAAAUUUAUUUAAACGGAUAAUUUUUUGAAAUAGAAAUUUGAAGGUGGAUUUAAUAGUAAUAUAAAAUAGAUUAUUUAUAUGAUUUUAGCUCUAAAACAUGUACAUAUCGCCCAUCGUUCUUAUUUUUAAAAUAAGAUAAGUUGUAACAUAGUAGAUGUACUGGAAAGUGUAUCUAGAAAGA